rnacentral:rRNA from 1 species
CAGGGAUUGCCCUAGUAACGGCGAGUGAAGCGGCAACAGCUCAAAUUUGAAAUCUGGCGCAAGCCCGAGUUGUAAUUUGUAGAGGAUGCUUCUAGGUAGCGACCGGUCUAAGUUCCUUGGAACAGGACGUCAUAGAGGGUGAGAAUCCCGUAUGUGACCGGCCCGCACCUUCUACGUAGCUCCUUCGACGAGUCGAGUUGUUUGGGAAUGCAGCUCUAAAUGGGAGGUAAAUUUCUUCUAAAGCUAAAUACCGGCCAGAGACCGAUAGCGCACAAGUAGAGUGAUCGAAAGAUGAAAAGCACUUUGGAAAGAGAGUUAAAAAGCACGUGAAAUUGUUGAAAGGGAAGCGCUCACAACCAGACUUCUGGGCGGUGUUCCGCCGGUCUUCUGACCGGUCUACUCACCGUCCCGAGGCCAACAUCAUCUGGGACCGCUGGAUAAGACCUCAGGAAUGUAGCUCCCCCUCGGGGGAGUGUUAUAGCCUGUGGUGAUGCAGCGCGUCUCGGGUGAGGUCCGCGCUUCGGCAAGGAUGUUGGCGUAAUGGUUGUCAGCGGCCCGUCUUGAAACACGGACCAAGGAGUCUAACAUCUAUGCGAGUGUUCGGGUGUCAAACCCCUACGCGUAAUGAAAGUGAACGGAGGUGGGAAGCGUAAGCUGCACCAUCGACCGAUCCUGAUGUCCUCGGAUGGAUUUGAGUAAGAGCAUAGCUGUUGGGACCCGAAAGAUGGUGAACUAUGCCUGAAUAGGGUGAAGCCAGAGGAAACUCUGGUGGAGGCUCGCAGCGGUUCUGACGUGCAAAUCGAUCGUCAAAUUUGGGUAUAGGGGCGAAAGACUAAUCGAA